AGAGUUUGAUCAUGGCUCAGGACGAACGCUGGCGGCAUGCCUAACACAUGCAAGUCGAACGGAGCACCCUUGAAGGAGUUUUCGGACAACGGAGAGGAAUGCUUAGUGGCGGACGGGUGAGUAACGCGUGAGCAAUCUGCCUUUCAGAGGGGGACAACAGAGGGAAACUUCUGCUAAUACCGCAUAACGUAGCGGGGAGGCAUCUUCCUGCUACCAAAGAUUUAUCGCUGAAAGAUGAGCUCGCGUCUGAUUAGCUAGUUGGUGAGGUAACGGCCCACCAAGGCGACGAUCAGUAGCCGGACUGAGAGGUUGAACGGCCACAUUGGGACUGAGAUACGGCCCAG
rnacentral:rRNA from 1 species